CGACAAAAUUGAAUCGGCUCUGACCGUGUAGGAGAAGUCAGCAGAGGGCAUAUUAGCCAGUGAAACGAGCCGCGUGAAUAGAAAAGCGGGGAGGUCUCACACUGGUGAAGGCC
rfam:Desulfobacterales bacterium C00003106 5579_contig_62558.2, whole genome shotgun sequence.